CGUAGGGUGCGAGCGUUGUCCGGAAUUAUUGGGCGUAAAGAGCUCGUAGGCGGUGUGUCGCGUCGGUCGUGAAAACUUGGGGCUUAACCCUGAGCGGUGCGGGUCGAAGUACGGGCAUCACUUGAGUUCGGCAGGGGAGACUGGAAUUCCUGGUGUAGCGGUGAAAUGCGCAGAUAUCAGGAGGAACACCGGUGGCGAAGGCGGGUCUCUGGGCCGAUACUGACGCUGAGGAGCGAAAGCGUGGGGAGCGAACAGGAUUAGAUACCCUGGUAGUCCACGCCGUAAACGGUGGGCACUAGGUGUGGGGGCCAUUCCACGGUCUCUGUGCCGCAGCUAACGCAUUAAGUGCCCCGCCUGGGGAGUACGGCCGCAAGGCUA
rnacentral:rRNA from 1 species